rnacentral:rRNA from 1 species
UACGGGGGGGGCAAGCGUUGUUCGGAAUUACUGGGCGUAAAGGGCUCGUAGGCGGCCAACUAAGUCAGACGUGAAAUCCCUCGGCUUAACCGGGGAACUGCGUCUGAUACUGGAUGGCUUGAGUGUGGGAGAGGGAUGGCGGAAUUCCAAGGUGUAGCGGUGAAAUGCGUAGAUAUCUGGAGGAACACCGGUGGCGAAGGCGGCAUCCUGGACCACGACUGACGGCUGAGGAGCGAAAGCCAGGGGAGCAAAGCGGG